UGCGCACUCAACUUCAGGAAACAUCAUUACCUGUGGGAAAUUUUAAAUGUGGCCGAUGUACUUUGUGUAAAUUUAUGCUAGAGGGGAAGGAGAUUUUUGUUAAGGAACGGAAACUGACAGUUAAACACUUUGCAUCAUGUUACACAUCGGGUGUGAUAUACUUACUUGAAUGUCCCUGUGCUCUUUUUUAUGUGGGUUGUACGAUAAGACCAUUGAAAACUAGGAUCUUUGAACAUAUGUCUAGAAUUAGGCACAGAGUAAUGGAAGCACCCCUGGUACAACAUUUUAUCGAGCAUCGUCAUGAAGAAAAUUCCUUUAAAGUAGCGGUACUGGAGGUUGUAACUAAGGGACAUGCAAAUCAAAUUAAGCUACUGAGGAGGGAAGCAUUUUGGAUUGUCUUUCUGCAGACGAUCAGACCGCACGGCCUCAAUACGGAACUAUCAUUGAAUUGUUUUUUAUAAUCAGUUAUGUUGCUUUAAAGUUUUGAGAUUGGAUAAUGAGUAUGUGAUUUAAACUGCAGUUGAAGGGUUUGGCCACAAGCAGGAGAAGAUACAGCUGCUGUGACUGUGAUACUGGAGACACACGUUUCCACAAUAAUUAUUGAUUCAAAUACCCUAUGCUGUGUGAAUACAACAGCUAUAAACCACGCCCCUGAAGAAGGGGACGAAAUCUGUUUGUAGCCGGCCCCAGAUUGGGCGUGGCAAUGUAUAUGAUAAGCUGUUUAGCUGAAUUUAUAUGAGAAGACUUUUGUGAUUAUAUUCCAAGCUGAAUGCAUAUGAGAAGCUGUUUGGCUGAAUUUAUAUGAGAAGACUUUGUGAAGACUCAUCUGCAUACCGUGAUAUUACUGCGAUUAAGGAAUACACAUUGAGGAAUACACACAGAUGAUAGACUCUCUGGACAUCUUUAUUGGCUAUAUAUAAACAGUUUGUAUAAUUUUCGUGCAAUUGCCUUUGAAAUUACCUUAUAAUAUCAUAUAAAAAGUAUAUUAAUUCUU